CCAUCAAGUUGCUUGGCAUGAUGGAUCUGGAUGACUUUUACAGCAUCUAAUAUCAUGGGUAAAAAUGAUAUUCCUGCAUAUGAAACAGUGAAAGUGUGCAGAAUAAGAAAGAAGAUCAAGAAGGGGGUUCAUGGAUUAUGUGAAGCAGUAAUUUGAAAGGAUAUAUUUAGGUGGCAGAGAAACUAACUAGAUUUGCAAGUCAUUAUAUAAAUGGCCACAUUCAUUUAAAUUAACCAAUGUUUUCCUAAGGAGUGGUUGAAUUUCCAGAAGAUAUCACUUGGAAUUUGUUUUUCUCAAUUUAAUCAUCUGCAUAUUUUUCUUCAAUGAAUAAAGGAUGCAAACAAGACUAAAAUAAGAUGCUUUGAAGUUUGUCGGAUUGAUCACAUGAGAGAGAGAGAGAGAGAGAGAGAGAGAGAGAGAGAGAGAGAGAAAAGUUGAAUGAACUUGUCUUCAUGCAUCAUGCACUGUAUGUACAUGUUAUCUUUUAGCAUUUUAAUGCUCAAUAAAUUGUUAAAUUGUUAUCUUGCAUGAGUUUAUUCUCUGUUUAUUUAUUCCAAAUUGCUACUGCACACUUUCUUAGAUAACUAAUUUAAUUUUAAUGUUAUUAUUUGUUUGAUAUCUUCAUCUAUUAUGGUUGUUUGUCAUACUAUGAAAGUAACUUAUACUAGCCUAGUUAAAGAGAUUUCAAUAUCUUGAGUAAAUAACUAAAUAUAAUUAAAUAUAUUAAUUAGUACAACAGUAUCCACUGUUAACAUGCAAAUACAUGUACUGACAUCACUUAGCAUUAACAAUAUUAUAAAAUAACACUGUCCAAGUAAAUUGUCCAAACAUAGCAUUGAUACAUGUAAAUGAAAUGUAUUCUUUCACUCUUAUGCAUUGCUUAUUUAUUCAAAUAUGUACAACAUGCUUGAAAGUUAGUCAGCUGAGUAAUUUAGAAAUACAUUUUUAAAAAGAGGAAAAUACAGUUU
rnacentral:sRNA from 1 species